GAUGAAGAACGUAGCGAAAUGCGAUAAGUAAUGUGAAUUGCAGAAUUCAGUGAAUCAUCGAAUCUUUGAACGCACAUUGCGCCCGCCAGUAUUCUCGCGGGCAUGCCUGUCUGAGCGUCAUUUCAACCCUCAUGCCCCUAGGGCGUGGUGUUGGGGAUCGGCCAAAGCCCGCGAGGGACGGCCGGCCCCUAAAUCUAGUGGCGGACCCGUCGUGGCCUCCUCUGCGAAGUAGUGAUAUUCCGCAUCGGAGAGCGACGAGCCCCUGCCGUUAAACCCCCAACUUUCCAAGGUUGACCUCAGAUCAGGUAGGAAUACCCGCUGAACUUAAGCAUAUCAAUAAGCGGAGGA
rnacentral:misc_RNA from 1 species